UCUGCUGUGAAAGCCCGAGGCUCAACCUCGGGUCUGCAGUGGGUACGGGCAGGCUAGAGUGCGGUAGGGGAGAUUGGAAUUCCUGGUGUAGCGGUGGAAUGCGCAGAUAUCAGGAGGAACACCGAUGGCGAAGGCAGAUCUCUGGGCCGUUACUGACGCUGAGGAGCGAAAGCAUGGGGAGCGAACAGGAUUAGAUACCCUGGUAGUCCAUGCCGUAAACGUUGGGCGCUAGAUGUGGGGACCUUUCCACGGUUUCUGUGUCGUAGCUAACGCAUUAAGCGCCCCGCCUGGGGAGUACGGCCGCAAGGCUAAAACUCAAAGGAAUUGACGGGGGCCCGCACAAGCGGCGGAGCAUGCGGAUUAAUUCGAUGCAACGCGAAGAACCUUACCAAGGCUUGACAUAUAUCGGAAUCGGCUAGAGAUAGUCGCGCCCUUUGGGUCGGUAUACAGGUGGUGCAUGGUUGUCGUCAGCUCGUGUCGUGAGAUGUUCGGUUAAGUCCGGCAACGAGCGCAACCCUUGUCCUAUGUUGCCAGCACGUUAUGGUGGGAACUCAUGGGAUACUGCCGUGGUCAACACGGAGGAAGGUGGGGAUGACGUCAAAUCAUCAUGCCCCUUAUGUCUUGGGCUUCACGCAUGCUACAAUGGCCGGUACAAUGGGCUGCGAUACCGCGAGGUGGAGCGAAUCCCAAAAAGCCGGUCUCAGUUCGGAUUGGGGUCUGCAAC
rnacentral:rRNA from 1 species